AUGAAGAUGGAGCCCAUGUCACCUCCAUUGUCAGUGGCUGAGGACAAUCAGUCUCUGCUGCCUCAAUUGGCAAAGGCUAUGGACAUCACUGUUGCUAGGGAGGAUAACUCGUUGCCUCCCACCACCGAACCUAAUGUGGUGGAGUAUAUUUCGGUCGUGGCCACACCUCUUGGUGGUGGCCCAUCGACAUUCAUCACAGUGAAGGGAACAGACACCUACGGUGGCCCGUUUAUGGAGAGUCCAGAAAAGAAACUGAAGAGCAACCGUGAGAUAGUUUUCAUUGUAGGUCCCAGGAAUGAGACGCAGAUGCGCUUAUGUGUUUGCUGCAUGGCUAUCAAGACAAGGAUACAAACCUUCUGCCCAUGCGGUACUACGAAGCAUAGGUGUCUUGGUCCAGUUACAUAG
rnacentral:rRNA from 1 species